CCUACGGGUGGCUGCAGUGGGGAAUAUUGGACAAUGGGCGAAAGCCUGAUCCAGCCAUGUCGCGUGUGUGAAGAAGGCCUUCGGGUUGUAAAGCACUUUCAGUGGGGAAGAAAGCCUUGGGGCUAAUACCCUCGAGGAAGGACAUCACCCACAGAAGAAGCACCGGCUAACUCCGUGCCAGCAGCCGCGGUAAUACGGAGGGUGCGAGCGUUAAUCGGAAUUACUGGGCGUAAAGCGCGCGUAGGCGGUCUGAUAAGCCGGUUGUGAAAGCCCCGGGCUCAACCUGGGAACGGCAUCCGGAACUGUCAGGCUAGAGUGCAGGAGAGGAAGGUAGAAUUCCCGGUGUAGCGGUGAAAUGCGUAGAGAUCGGGAGGAAUACCAGUGGCGAAGGCGGCCUUCUGGACUGACACUGACGCUGAGGUGCGAAAGCGUGGGUAGCAAACAGGAUUAGAUACCCGUGUAGUC
rnacentral:rRNA from 1 species